ensembl:lncRNA
CAUCAAAUGAGACAGAAAGAAGUAACAAAGAAAUCAGCAGUCUCACUGAAACGAUUCUCAUCUGAAACAGGUGAAGGACUUAAUUCAGAAAGCUACUAAGUAAUGCCUACAUUGCUUUUAUACCUUAAUCUUCUUUGGUGAGAAUGAGUUUCAUAUCCAGAAGACAAAUCAAGCACUCAAACGAUCACGGUGCAUUUUAAGAAAUUGUACUUCUGGCUGCAGAAUUCUGGAUCAAUCAAUUUGGGAGAAGACUUAACAGUCAACUAUGGUCAGCAUGGAAUCAUUUGAAGUGGAACUCAUGGAAGAUGUACUUGCUCCAGGCCAAAUCUCACUGCAUUUGGUGCUGUAAAACUCUACUCAUCCUUAACUGCUCUGAAGUGGGCUCAGAGGCAGUCAAGUACAGAGUUUCCAAAUGAUGACAGCAGUCCAUCCCUGCCGUGAUCUUCUACUGCUUGUUUUUCUCCACUUAUCUGAACACAGAUGGAAAAAGAAACAGCUAGCCGUCCUUCCCACACAACAAGCAACAGACAAAAGACAGCAUGCCCUUUAGCAAGGUGCUGAAUGGAGCUUGUGAAAUCAGCAAAACAAAUUACUUUAACGAUACUACUUACAUGAGUAAUGCAGAUGAGCUUCUUCCCCGGAGUCAUUUGUAUCUAUUUAAGACAGUAAGUAUUGCUGAAUAAUGACAGAAACACUAUGUAUAUUUUUAAAGGAAAUCAGUACGAAAAGAAAAUCUACAGAUUUAUCACUUCUCCCUGAGACAAUGCCUGGAGCUGUGCUUGGUUUAAUUAUUUUUAGGGACGUGAUCAAUCAACGUAGCAACCGCGGCACAGUAUAUCCAAUACACUGAAAAUCUAAGCAACUAUCAAGCAAGUACAUGCUGUAAAGUGUCUGUUAAAUACCGAUUAGCGCUGUGAAGCUGGAGAUCCAGAAGCUGCUACAGCAGCUUGUCAGAGGCAGCUGCAGACCCUUGCAGUGCCUAUAUACCAUUUUUUCCCCCCCUAAAUACUGCAGUCAAAACAGUUUGAUGUCAAAUCAUUUGUCAUCUAUCUUUAUGCUUCUGCUGAACGAAGGCUAAAGCAGAGGGUAUUGGCAUACAGAAGCAUUUUAUAACUAUGGAAUCAGUAAUUGUUUAAUCGUGUGAAAGCAAAAGCAAAGAGUGGACUGGGAGCUGUGAGCAUGGGGCAUUUGGUGUGUCUGUGAGAUGGGUCCUGGUGGGAAAAAAAGGCCAUCUUCUGCUCAUUAAAGUAUUACCCAUUUCAAUGCAGAAUUAAUCUCCCUCUUACUUUUGUCGAAAGGAUUUAUGUGUUUGUACUGUCCAUGAACCGAUAAGACACAGCCACACACAGCUUGCCUGCUAAGCAAAGCAGGAAACAACAACCACCACAAAAACCCCGAAAAAAGAUAUUUUCCUGUCAUAACCUUUCCUUCCUUCUUUCUUUCUUUCUUUCCUUCCUUCCUUCCUUCAUUCCUUCCUUCCUUCCUUCUUUCUUUCCUUCCUUCCUUCCUUCCUUCCUUCCUGCCUUCCUGCCUUCCUUCCUGCCUUCCUUUUCAUCCUUCUUUUCCUUCCUUUCCUUCCUUAGUUAUGGAUAGCUUUUCACACACCUGUAUGCGUGCAACAACCAAAGUGCCCAGGAACAGCAGGAACAUCGCAUAUUCUGCAAUAUUCCUCACAAGGCAUACAGACAAAGAGAAAAAAAAGAUGUUAACCUCCCCCAACAAACAUAGCUGAAAACUUUUCUUCGGGGGAAAAGGGAAAAAAAGCUUGUUGCACUCCCCCCCCCCCA